GGGCACUUGGCACAGUUGGUAGCGCGCACGCUUCGCAUUUGCUAAUUGCGUGAGGUCGGGAGUUCGACUCUCCUAGUGUCCA